UGGCUCCUUACGAGUCUUUUAACUGUGGCGUUUCUUGAUUGCAACCGGGCUGAAGCAGCUCCCCAGGAUCCCGGGAAAGGAUGCAAUGCUGAAAAGAACAAAGAAUAUCCUCUCGUUCAUGAUCUUACACUCCAGCGACAGACGACACACCUGCAGGAUGACAGAAUUCUUUCUGCAGAUGAGAGAGGACAAUGAGCAAGUAGAAACACAGGAAGACGCAAACAAGGUCUGCAGAUGAUAACGAACAACGAACAACGAGGAAGGAUGCCUCUGGCAGUCCUAGAAAGGAGAUGAUGCACACCGCCUCCCAACUCUGCACUCAGUGGCUUACUGUGGGCAGCUUGAAUCCAGUGAUGAUGGGACUAUUUACACUACGGAGAUUAGCAAAUUUUACAUACCCCAUUUUCCCUUAUUGUAUUACUGGCUAUAUAUUAAACUUAAAAAGCAUGGCAUGUCACUGUGAAUAGCAAAAACAUUAAGUUGAUCUCUGCAAUUCUUUGGAAAUUCCCCAACUCAGGAAAUGUGUUGUCCCCAUCCCUGGUGAGUGAGGGACUUUUCAUCAGGUGACUCUAAAGCUGAGGGUUGCAGCUGGUGACUAUUAACUUGUGAAUCACAAAUUCACAGGUGAUGAGUAUAAUAAGCACAAGAAAAAAAAAAGCUUCCUAAAUACAUCGUGCCUCAAACUUGAUAAAGUUUGGCGGGAGGGGAUUAAUGAAUUGGAAAGAAAUCCCACUUGCCAAAUAUCACGUUGAGUCGCAACCAUAGAUCACAUCUUCCUAUAACUGCAGCAAAAGACAAAGCAUUCAAUAAUGGGUUCUGUGAAACUUUUAAAAAGGCCUGGAUAGGGUUGGGUCAGUGGCUCAGAGGUUAAGAGCACUGGCUGCUCUUCCAGGGGACCCAGGUUCAGUUCCCAGCAUCAUGUGGCAGCUCACAACUGUCUGUAACUUCAGAUCCAAGAGACCCAAUGCCCUCUACUGUACCUGGAGAUCACAAAGCUUACAAAUGGUGUGAAGACAGACACAUGGACAAAACACUCAUACACAUAAAGUAAAAAUUAAAUAUUUUUUAAGAAG
rnacentral:lncRNA from 1 species